rnacentral:rRNA from 1 species
AUGGCACAUGGAGAUUCUGUGUGGACUAGAAAAUUAAAUGCAGUGACUGUUAAAAACAAAUUUCCUAUGCCGGUGAUUGAUGAAAUCCUAGAUGAAUUAGGAGGAAAUAAGUGGUUUUCAAAGUUAGAUCUUAAAGCUGGCUACCACCAAAUAAGGAUGAAAGAGGAGGAUGAAUUCAACACAGCUUUCCCCCGUACUCCAAAUGCCAGUGAGCAGCUUACUUGUGCAGAAGAAAAAGAAAGAGAAACCAUCUUCCAAGGGACACUGCCAGUUCAAGAUGAGCAUGAAGCUGAUAUGCUAAACUACCGUCUCAAGAUACUCCCUCUGUUAACAUACCGUAUGUUGUUAAUGAUAAGGCAAUAA